rnacentral:rRNA from 1 species
UAAUACGUAGGAUGCAAGCGUUGUCCGGAAUUAUUGGGCGUAAAGAGUACGUAGGCGGUUUGUUAAGUCAGGGGUUAAAGACUGAGGCUCAACCUCAGGAGUGCCUUUGAUACUGGCGAGCUUGAGGACGGCAGAGGAAAGUGGAAUUCCCAGUGUAGCGGUGAAAUGCGUAGAUAUUGGGAGGAACACCAGUGGCGAAAGCGACUUUCUGGGCCGUUCCUGACGCUGAGGUACGAAAGCGUGGGGAGCAAACAGGAUUAGAUACCCUGGUAGUCCACGCCGUAAACGAUGGAUACUAGGUGUAGAGGGUAUCGACCCCCUCUGUGCCGUAGCUAACGCGUUAAGUAUCCCGCCUGGGGAGUACGGUCGCAAGGCUGAAACUUAAAUGAAUUGACGG